UGGGGAAUAUUGGACAAUGGGCGAAAGCCUGAUCCAGCCAUGCCGCGUGUGUGAAGAAGGUCUUCGGAUUGUAAGGCACUUUAAGUUGGGAGGAAGGGUUGUAGAUUAAUACUCUGCAAUUUUGACGUUACCGACAGAAUAAGCACCGGCUAACUCUGUGCCAGCAGCCGCGGUAAUACAGAGGGUGCAAGCGUUAAUCGGAAUUACUGGGCGUAAAGCGCGCGUAGGUGGUUAGUUAAGUUGGAUGUGAAAUCCCCGGGCUCAACCUGGGAACUGCAUUCAAAACUGACUGACUAGAGUAUGGUAGAGGGUGGUGGAAUUUCCUGUGUAGCGGUGAAAUGCGUAGAUAUAGGAAGGAACACCAGUGGCGAAGGCGACCACCUGGACUGAUACUGACACUGAGGUGCGAAAGCGUGGGGAGCAAACA
rnacentral:rRNA from 1 species